AACCGUGGCUUUCGAUUGUUAC
rnacentral:piRNA from 1 species